AACGGGAAUUACUUUAUUGAAACUUCGGUCGAUUUAAUUUAAUUCUAGUGGCGGACGGGUGAGUAACGCGUGGGUAACCUGCCUUAUACAGGGGGAUAACAGUCAGAAAUGGCUGCUAAUACCGCAUAAGCGCACAGAGCUGCAUGGCUCAGUGUGAAAAACUCCGGUGGUAUAAGAUGGACCCGCGUUGGAUUAGCUUGUUGGUGGGGUAACGGCCCACCAAGGCGACGAUCCAUAGCCGGCCUGAGAGGGUGAACGGCCACAUUGGGACUGAGACACGGCCCAGACUCCUACGGGAGGCAGCAGUGGGGAAUAUUGCACAAUGGGGGGAACCCUGAUGCAGCGACGCCGCGUGAAGGAAGAAGUAUCUCGGUAUGUAAACUUCUAUCAGCAGGGAAGAUAGUGACGGUACCUGACUAAGAAGCCCCGGCUAACUACGUGCCAGCAGCCGCGGUAAUACGUAGGGGGCAAGCGUUAUCCGGAUUUACUGGGUGUAAAGGGAGCGUAGACGGUGUGGCAAGUCUGAUGUGAAAGGCAUGGGCUCAACCUGUGGACUGCAUUGGAAACUGUCAUACUUGAGUGCCGGAGGGGGUAAGCGGAAUUCCUAGUGUAGCGGUGAAAUGCGUAGAUAUUAGGAAGAACACCAGUGGCGAAGGCGGCUUACUGGACGGUAACUGACGUUGAGGCUCGAAAGCGUGGGGAGCAAACAGGAUUAGAUACCCUGGUAGUCCACGCUGUAAACGAUGAUUACUAGGUGUGGGGAGAUUGACCCCUUCCGUGCCGCAGUUAACACAAUAAGUAAUCCACCUGGGGAGUACGACCGCAAGGUUGAAACUCAAAGGAAUUGACGGGGGCCCGCACAAGCAGUGGAGUAUGUGGUUUAAUUCGACGCAACGCGAAGAACCUUACCAAGUCUUGACAUCCUCUGACGAACGUAGAAAUACGUUUUCUCUUCGGAGCAGAGAGACAGGUGGUGCAUGGUUGUCGUCAGCUCGUGUCGUGAGAUGUUGGGUUAAGUCCCGCAACGAGCGCAACCCUUAUCCCCAGUAGCCAGCAUUUCGGAUGGGCACUCUGUGGAGACUGCCAGGGACAACCUGGAGGAAGGUGGGGAUGACGUCAAAUCAUCAUGCCCCUUAUGACUUGGGCUACACACGUGCUACAAUGGCGUAAACAAAGGGAAGCGAGACCGCGAGAUGGAGCAAAUCCAAAAAAUAACGUCCCAGUUCGGAUUGUAGUCUGCAACUCGACUACAUGAAGCUGGAAUCGCUAGUAAUCGCAGAUCAGAAUGCUGCGGUGAA
rnacentral:rRNA from 1 species